CCUCAAUUGGUUUGCUGUGUUCCUUGAGUUGGGGAAUGAGCCCCUUCCGCAAAUUUUCUCGGAGUUAUCUAAGGUCUUAAGGAGAGUGCUGAGUUGCGUGGCUCACAGAACCUGCUCCUUGAAACCGCUUGAAGGCAGGAUGCCUGAGAAAAAGAGGGAACCACUGGGCCCAACAACUUCAAAACCCUCAGGUGAAAAAGAUGAGCAGGCACAGUGCUAAGGAAUUGAACCCAGAGCCUCGUGCAUGCUAGAUAAGCACUCUACCACUGAGCUACAUACCUGGCCCAUUUGCCUCAAUGUGGCAGUCAGAAAUUGAAGAAUUGCAUAACCCUUAGAAGUAAAAAUUAUUGAG
rnacentral:lncRNA from 1 species